rnacentral:rRNA from 1 species
CGUAGACUCCUAGCGGGGAGGCAGCAGUGGGGAAAUAUUGCACAAUUGGGCGCAAGCCUGAUGCAGCCAUGCCGCGUGUGUGAAGAAGGCCUUCGGGUUGUAAAGCACUUUCAGUUGUGAGGAAGGUGGUGUCGUUAAUAGCGGCAUCAUUUGACGUUAGCAACAGAAGAAGCACCGGCUAACUCCGUGCCAGCAGCCGCGGUAAUACGGAGGGUGCGAGCGUUAAUCGGAAUUACUGGGCGUAAAGCGCAUGCAGGUGGUUUGUUAAGUCAGAUGUGAAAGCCCGGGGCUCAACCUCGGAACUGCAUUUGAAACUGGCAGACUAGAGUACUGUAGAGGGGGGUAGAAUUUCAGGUGUAGCGGUGAAAUGCGUAGAGAUCUGAAGGAAUACCGGUGGCGAAGGCGGCCCCCUGGACAGAUACUGACACUCAGAUGCGAAAGCGUGGGGAGCAAACAGGAUUAGAUACCCUGGUAG